rnacentral:rRNA from 1 species
CAUGGCAGACAGACGGCGGGUGCUAAGGUCCGUCGUCGAAAGGGAAACAGCCCAGACCACCAGCUAAGGUCCCCAAAUCACGACUAAGUGGGAAAGGAUGUGGGAAGGCCAAGACAACCAGGAGGUUGGCUUAGAAGCAGCCAUCAUUUAAAGAAAGCGUAACAGCUCACUGGUCAAGCGCUCCUGCGCGGAAAAUGUAACGGGGCUUAAGUGAUACACCGAAGCUGCGGAUUCGAUCUUUGAUCGAGUGGUAGCGGAGCGUUCCGUAGGCCGAUGAAGGUGGACCCGCGAGGGCCGCUGGAGGUAUCGGAAGUGAGAAUGCUGACAUGAGUAGCGAUAAAGAGGGUGAGAAACCCUCUCGCCGAAAGUCCAAGGGUUCCUGCGCAACGCUAAUCGGCGCAGGGUGAGUCGGCCCCUAAGGCGAGG